rnacentral:rRNA from 1 species
UUGACGGGACCGCACAAGCGGUGGAUGAUGUGGUUUAAUUCGAUGCAACGCGAAAACCUUACCCACCUUUGACAUGUACGGAAUCCUUUAGAGAUAGAGGAGUGCUCGAAAGAGAGCCGUAACACAGGUGCUGCAUGGCUGUCGUCAGCUCGUGUCGUGAGAUGUUGGGUUAAGUCCCGCAACGAGCGCAACCCUUGUCAUUAGUUGCUACAUUCAGUUGGGCACUCUAAUGAGACUGCCGGUGACAAACCGGAGGAAGGUGGGGAUAACGUCAAGUCCUCAUGGCCCUUAUGGCCAGGGCUUCACACGUAAUACAAUGGUCGGUACAGAGGGUUGCCAAGCCGCGAGGUGGAGCCAAUCCCAGAAAGCCGAUCGUAGUCCGGAUCGCAGUCUGCAACUCGACUGCGUGAAGUCGGAAUCGCUAGUAAUCGUGGAUCAGAAUGUCACGGUGAAUACGUUCCCGGGUCUU